CCAGGUGAUUCUCCUGACAAUAGGCUACACUGGAUAAAGGUUUGUGAUGACGACGAUGCUGCAGCCAUCCAAGAGGCCAUCACUUCAUUUGUACUCAACAUCUUUGUGGUCAGCAAAGCCAGGGAUGGAGGUCUCGAGAAGGAAGCUGGAAUAGCCAUUGAGGGAGCAGAGGUCCUUUUUGGCAUUCCCAGUGUAGCACAUGCUUGCUCCUACCUUAUGGGCCUUAUUUAUGCCUUGGAACUAAGCUACCCAAAGAAACUUAAAUACACCUUUGAGGUAUUUCAGAAGAUCUUCCUGGAGCUGGAGGAUGUUAACAAAAACAUGUCCUCCAAAAUCCACGAUCUCAAGAUCAGCUUACUGGCCUAAAAGCGAUACAGACAUUGUAAAACUUUAACAGAGGGACCUAACUCGAACCCUCUAACUUAGUUUAAUUUCUCAGGUUCUCCUAAUGCACUCUCAAUAGUAACUACUAUUGCAUUUUCAUAGAGGGACCAUGUUUUGUAAGUCUGUUAAUGAGCAUUUGAAGGAAACAUGACUGUGAAGAAGUGAGAAACGCCUGACUCAUGGAAAAAAUUUUGCACAAUGUGAAUUUAUUUUAAUUUUAUUUUGAUAAGCUACUAACCUACCCAAAGAAACUGAAAUGUAGGCUUUCCAGAAGAUCUUCCUGGAGCUAGAGGACAGGAACCAAAAAAUGUUCCCCAAAGUUCAUGAUCUCAUGAUCAGCUUACUGGCCUUACAUUGUUGAAUGUAGAGGGUUUGAGUUAAGUCCCUCUGGUAAAGUGUUACUGUUCAAUUUCUCAGGUUUUUUUCAAUGCACUUUCUCAAGUUACACUAAUCCUAUUUCAUAUAGGGACCAUGUUUGUGAGUCUGUUAAUGUUAAAGGUGAAGUUGAAGGAAAGAUGACAGUUAAGAAGUCAGAAACUAUAUUGCACAAUGUGAGUUUUUUUCAAUAGAAACCCAAAAAAACUGAAAUGUAGGUUUCUUAGAAGAUCUCCAUUUUCACACGGGGAUCAUACAUGUGAUCAUACAUGUGCAAGCGUGUUGUUUUUAAGUCUUAAGAGUAUGUUAAUGUACAGGACUGAAAAAUGCAAUUUUAUAGAAAAUAUUCUGUAAAUGUCUCUGAAUUGUUUCUUCUGAAGACAAUAAAGCCUGUCAACUUUCACUUAAUGAGCUUUCC
ensembl:lncRNA